UACGAAGGGGGCUAGCGUUGCUCGGAAUUACUGGGCGUAAAGGGAGCGUAGGCGGACAGUUUAGUCAGUGGUGAAAUCCUGGAGCUCAACUCCAGAACUGCCUUUGAUACUGAAGAUCUUGAGUUCGGGAGAGGUGAGUGGAACUGCGAGUGUAGAGGUGAAAUUCGUAGAUAUUCGCAAGAACACCAGUGGCGAAGGCGGCUCACUGGCCCGAUACUGACGCUGAGGCACGAAAGCGUGGGGAGCAAACAGG
rnacentral:rRNA from 1 species